rnacentral:rRNA from 1 species
CCUACGGGAUGCAGCAGUGAGGAAUAUUGGUCAAUGGGCUUACGCCUGAACCAGCCAAGUCGCGUGAGGGAAGACUGCCCUAUGGGUUGUAAACCUCUUUUGUCAGGGAGCAACGCCGGCUACGUGUAGCCGGACUGAGAGUACCUGAAGAAAAAGCAUCGGCUAACUCCGUGCCAGCAGCCGCGGUAAUACGGAGGAUGCGAGCGUUAUCCGGAUUUAUUGGGUUUAAAGGGUGCGUAGGCGGAAUGCCAAGUCAGCGGGAAAAUCGCGGGGCUCAACCUCGCUCCGCCGUUGAAACUGGCGUUCUUGAGGGGGCGAGAAGUAUGAGGAAUGCGUGGUGUAGCGGUGAAAUGCAUAGAUAUCACGCAGAACUCCGAUUGCGAAGGCAGCAUACCGGCGCCCAACUGACGCUGAAGCACGAAAGCGUGGGUAUCGAACAGGAUUAGAUACCCCAGUAGUC